rnacentral:rRNA from 1 species
GACGAACGCUGGCGGCGUGCUUAAUACAUGCAAGUCGAGCGAGGCCCAUCCAGUGGCAACACUGGGGAAGGCCGAGCGGCGAACGGGUGAGUAACACGUGAGCAACCUGCCCCGAAGUCUGGAAUAACAUCGGGAAACCGGUGCUAAUACCGGAUUGCCCCACCUGACCGCAUGAUCGGGUGAGGAAAGAUUUAUCGCUUCGGGAGGGGCUCGCGGCCUAUCAGCUAGUGGCGGGGUAACGGCCCACCAAGGCGUCGACGGGUAGCUGGUCUGAGAGGACGACCAGCCACACUGGGACUGAGACACGGCCCAGACUCCUACGGGAGGCAGCAGUAGGGAAUCUUGCGCAAUGGGCGAAAGCCUGACGCAGCAACGCCGCGUGGGGGA